rnacentral:lncRNA from 1 species
CUCAUGUAUCAUUGUGGUGUGCUCCUGGCCGAACAUGUCUCAGAAUGCAAGGAAAAACUCCAGCACGACUCCAUCCCGUCAUGGUGACUUCUUGGUCAUUUUUAGUAAUACACAAGUUGUCUCCAGUAGUGAGAUUGAAGCCUUCAACCGGUUUUGUGCUGCCAAGUCUAGCCUUGUCGUGAUUGAGUUAAUCGCCUUUUCUUGAGGGUCA